GGAGACGUGUCCGAGUGGUUGAAGGAGCACGCCUGGAAAGUGUGUAUAUGGGAAACUGUAUCAUGAGUUCGAAUCUCAUCGUCUCCG
rnacentral:tRNA from 1 species